rnacentral:lncRNA from 1 species
GGUAUGAUUUAAUACACUUUACCGACCUGAAUUCAUUGGAUAUAUGUAAAAAUGAAGGAAUGCACAUUAUUCUGCUUGAUGCUCUGCAGAGAGAGGAGCUGCCUGAGAGGUUGCACCUGUAUUCCUGGAUGCACUGGCCCCAGGGGUGGUUGGUGCUGACUCCACAUUUGUCUAAUAAGAUGUCCAGAUACAAAAAUGUCUGUGAUAUGGGAACCAUUACAGAUCUAGGAAAGUUUUUUCAACAGCAAAAAAAGCAAGCCUGUUUCUGUCAAAGUCUUUUAUUUUACUUUUGAAUUUGACCUUUUAAAAUAAGAUUAAAACAUUCCAUCAAGACUCCCUUU